AUGAAGGCUCUGGAGCCUGCCUCGCCCAGCAGCAUCCAUCAGUGCCGUCAGUCUCCACUGGCUAAGUGCCUUUCCACAACCCACGGACCGGUUGGGCCAGCAGUGAUCAACCUUCGCCUGUUUCCGUUUCAAUUAGCGCGAGCUGAAGAGGAGGUACGACAUCACCGCCAUCCCCAGGCUCGUGAUCCUGAAACCAAACGGGGAGGUGAUCACCAGCAAAGGGCGGAAGCAGAUCCGGGAGCGGGGGCUGGCCUGCUUCCAGAGCUGGGUGGAGGCGGCCGAGGUCUUCCAGAAUUUCUCAGGUUGAACCGGGAGAAGGGACCACAGAGCCUGGACGGGGCGGCUCCUUCAGUGCAAACCCCCCGAGGGGAAAGAGGAGCCCGUUUUUUUCCCUUUCUCUCUAUGCAGCAUCUGAUUUUAUUUCAGAGCAGAAGUGCUAAGCCGUGGCAGAAAGUAAAUGUUGCUCAGGAAAAAAAAAACAAGCAAAAAUACCUCCUGCUCCGUUUGGAUCCUGUAGCUACGUGACAGUAAUUUUUAUUCUUUGCCUAGCUUUGGAGAUCUAUGCAAACAUUUUAUUUGUACAAGUCUCUUCAGGUAAAGUGAUCAGUUUAUGGAUGAAUUUUUCUGGCCAUCUAUCAUUUUAACGAUAUGUGUUAUAUGGUUUCACAACUCUAUUUAUUAUUAAACAAGUUUGC
ensembl:lincRNA